rnacentral:rRNA from 1 species
UACGUAGGGUGCAAGCGUUGUCCGGAAUUAUUGGGCGUAAAGAGCUCGUAGGCGGUUUGCUGCGUCGGCUGUGAAAACCUGAGGCUCAACCUCAGGCCUGCAGUCGAUACGAGCAGACUAGAGUGUUGCAGGGGAGACUGGAAUUCCUGGUGUAGCGGUGAAAUGCGCAGAUAUCAGGAGGAACACCGGUGGCGAAGGCGGGUCUCUGGGCAACAACUGACGCUGAGGAGCGAAAGCGUGGGGAGCGAACAGG